rnacentral:rRNA from 1 species
GACGAACGCUGGCGGCGUGCUUAACACAUGCAAGUCGAACGGAAAGGCCCUGCUUUUGUGGGGUGCUCGAGUGGCGAACGGGUGAGUAACACGUGAGUAACCUGCCCUUGACUUUGGGAUAACUUCAGGAAACUGGGGCUAAUACCGGAUAGGAGCUCCUGCUGCAUGGUGGGGGUUGGAAAGUUUCGGCGGUUGGGGAUGGACUCGCGGCUUAUCAGCUUGUUGGUGGGGUAGUGGCUUACCAAGGCUUUGACGGGUAGCCGGCCUGAGAGGGUGACCGGCCACAUGGGGACUGAGAUACGGCACAGACUCCUACGGGAGGCAGCAGUGGGGAAUAUUGCAAAAUGGGCGGAAGCCUGAUGCAGCAACGCCGCGUGCGGGAUGACGGCCUUCGGGUUGUAAACCGCUUUCGCCUGUGACGAAGCGUGAGUGACGGUAAUGGGUAAAGAAGCACCGGCUAACUACGUG